rnacentral:lncRNA from 1 species
AUUAGGAGGGAGCAUGCGCUUGAGAAACUGAAAACAAGGCCCCCACAGCUGGAGUGGAGAGGACAAGACGAUGUUCGGUGUGAGCUAAGACCACAGCGAUGAGGAGGGCCAAAAUCACACCGGGCCACCGGGCCACACGGAGAACGAUGCCCUCUUCUCCAUUGCGUGCAACUGAACCAACAUGGCUGGCAUUCCAGCCUCCCUGCCUGGUGCACACCUGCCAUUGUGUAAGAACCAGCUCAUCAUCCCCUCGGUGAAGCCAGCUCUACCCUCUCCCCCCAUCUCCAGGGUGCUACUCAAAGGCCCGAGUCCCAUUAACUUCUGUACGCACAGCCCAGCAGAGUCUCUGGUGGACACUUAUGGAGGAUACAAAUCUUAAUCUGUGGUCUGCUGUGAUCUCCGAGCCCCCAGACCGGUAAGGAACCAGAACUCAUGUCAAAUAACCCCAAAGUUUUCGUGACGUUUUGU